CCAGGCAAUGUCCUUGUCACCAGACAAUGAUGGAUGAGGAAGAUGCAGUCCCCACAGUCCCACUGGGAACAGCAGACAGGAACAGAAGAUCUCAACGUAACGCAGUGGAUCCUGCCAGGCAGGUUACGCGGAGCCCUGGAGCACAGCUGCAUUUUGCUGGGGUCACGUGGGGAGGAAGAUGCCCGGGAAGCGAGGAACAGCUCUGAUCCACUGCCUGGAGGACUCGGGGCUGGAGGUGUAUGAAUGCGCCUGACUUACCACCAGCUCUGAGUUAGUCAUCAGACCCAGUUCAGCCCCUGCCCCGUGCAAGAGUCCGCUGCCUGAUACACAGGAAGGGAGAGAAGACGCUAUUCUGGGUUUAAGACUGUCUGCUUCCCCCCUGAUGGGCAAGCGGUUGCCCCGACCAGCCCGCAGAGGGUCGAAGGAGCAGGGUUUGUGCAAAACAGCAGACACUCAGCUUCUCCGGCUACUUGAAUUAUUGAUGGCAGGUAAUGGAAUUGAGACAAGGUGUGUUACGCAGUGCCUCAAUAUGUUCCUGUGUAAAAUGGAGACGUUAUGGAGACUUUAUUGCCUUGUGAGAAUUACAGGCAAUAACACAAAGAUACUGAGAACAAUUACCAGCACAUAGCAUGAUAUCAACACAUCUCAGCCAAUGACUUUCUAGCGUACUAUGACACGGCUGGGGUCUGUCAGUGAGCAGAGGCCUGGCACACGUGUGGAGCUUCUCUGUACAUCCAUCCAUUCCACAGAGUGAACAAGAUGGCAGUUCUGGGAUUCCAGAAAACAUGAGGUCUGACUUGAGAUCUUUCUUCAGCUUCUUACAAUCUGUGCACGAGUGAAUUCCUCGAUGAAGCCGCGUAAGUUAUGAAGAAGGAAGAGGUGUCUGCUACUUUACCCAUCCGGAAGUGUUUUCAUUGCCUUUGUUUAUUUUUCUUCUAAGCUGUGGAGAGAGCAGAACAUGGUCACGCACAAUUUCUGGGUGAAGCCACCUGCUAUCAUUUCCAGUGUUGAGAUUUCUAAGAGCCAAAGCUUUUUAACUCUGCACGCUUCAGUGUGUCAGCAUUAAACACUUAACUGUUUGUUUGUGUGUCAAAGAGGCAGGCCCAGCAGGGGACAAAAAAGAAAACACAGGAUUCCUGUGUGAGAAGAGCUUAGCAGCUAAGGCUGGGGAGGGGGUGAAGGUUGGGACCACAGGCACGUCACAACACACGGGAGAAAACCCACACAUGGGUGUGUGGCUAUGUACGUGCAUGUUUGCAUACAUACAUGUGUGUGCAUGUGUGUGAAUGAAUAUAUGUCACUGUGUUUUCCUGCGUGGCACGCGGAAGUGGGACAGCACUUGUAUGUGUGCUGGUGUGAGUGUGUGUUUGCACAGUGCCUCCAGGAACUGCUGAGUGGGUACUGAGAACUUAGGACUCCAAAUUGCAUUUUGAGGCAGGAGAAGACACUCCAAUUGUUUUUCGAUGGUGAAGUAUAACAUAUGUCAAGAAUGGUACACAGGGACUUCCCUGAUGGUCCAGCAGUUAAGACUCUGUGCUUCCACUGCAGUGAGGGGCAUGGGUUCAAUCCCUGUUUGGGGAACUAAGAUCCCACAUGUCACACAGUGUGGCCCCCCCAAAAAUCAAUCCAAAAUAAAGAAUAAUACACAAAUGAUUAGGAUGAAUUUUCACAGAUUGAACACAUUUGUGUAACCAGUACCAAGAUCAAGAAACACAAUAUUACCAGAAUGAUGGAGGCCCUCUCACCCCAUCCGAUCAUACCUCUCC